GAUGAACGCUAGCGGCAGGCUUAAUACAUGCAAGUCGUGGGGCAGCAUGAGUAGCAAUACUUGAUGGCGACCGGCAAACGGGUGAGGAACACGUACACAACCUUCCUUCAAGCGGGGAAUAGCCCAGAGAAAUUUGGAUUAAUACCCCAUAAUAUAUUUGAUAAGGCAUCUUAUUAAUAUUAAAGCUUCGGCACUUGAUGAUGGGUGUGCGGCUGAUUAGAUAGUUGGCGGGUACCGGCCACCAAGUCUACGAUCAGUAGCUGAUGUGAGAGCAUGAUCAGCCACACGGGCACUGAGACACGGGCCCGACUCCUACGGGAGGCAGCAGUAAGGAAUAUUGGACAAUGGACGAAAGUCUGAUCCAGCCAUGCCGCGUGAAGGAUUAAGGUCCUCUGGAUUGUAAACUUCUUUAUAUGGGACGAAAAAGGGCAUUCUUGUUCACUUGACGGUACCAUAUGAAUAAGCACCGGCUAACUCCGUGCCAGCAG
rnacentral:rRNA from 1 species